rnacentral:rRNA from 1 species
AGGGUUCGAUUAUGGCUCAGGAUGAACGCUGGCGGCGUGCUUAACACAUGCAAGUCGAACGAAGAUACUUAAAAUGAGAGCUUCGGCAGGAUUUUUAUUUAUCUUAGUGGCGGACGGGUGAGUAACGUGUGGGCAACCUGCCCUAUACUGGGGAAUAAUCACUGGAAACGGUGACUAAUACCGCAUGUCAUUACGGAAGGGCAUCCUUCUGUAAGAAAAGGAGUAAUUCGGUAUAGGAUGGGCCCGCAUCUGAUUAGCUAGUUGGUGAGAUAACAGCCCACCAAGGCGACGAUCAGUAGCCGACCUGAGAGGGUGAUCGGCCACAUUGGGACUGAGACACGGCCCAA